AGAGAUUUAAGUUAAUAGACUAAAGGCCUUCAAAGCCUAAAGAAGAAG
rnacentral:tRNA from 2 species